rnacentral:lncRNA from 1 species
UUGAUGUGGGUAAAGAGGGAGAUUUUGAGUCUGAUUUUGGUUAGGAAAAAAAAACGGGGUAGUCAAACUAAGAUUUUAAAGGAUUUUAAAAGUGAUAGAUUUGAUAGGAUUAAAGAGGAUUAAAGACUCCUACAAAAUUCAUAUGGAUUUUUAAAGAAUUUGAAUGGAUUGUGAUGGAAAGAUUUGAAAUCCUAGGUGGUGAGGUUGAAUUCUUUUUAGUCUUGGUUAUAUAUACUUUUGGCUCUCAAAUUCCACAAAAUCCACAACUUAUUAAAAUCCUCCAAAAUCUUAAUUUUUUUUAAUACGCUUAGAUUUGGAUAGAUUUUAAAAUCCUUUAAAAUCUUUUAAUUGACUACACCUAGAUUUUAAAGGAUUCUAAAAUCCUUUAAUUGACUACACCUAGAUUUGAAUGGAUUCUAAAAUCCUUUGAAAUAUUUUAAUUGACUACACUAGGAUUUUAAAUUCUUUUAAAAUCCUCUCAAAUCCGAGUUUGACUACACCCAAUUUUAUUGUUCAUUCGAGGAAUUUGAAAAAUCCUAAAAGCAAAAACCUUGAUUUGAGUGGGGGAAUUAGGGUAGAAUGGGAAUGGCACUCUGUAAUUAAAUGUGGAUUAUGAAUAUACAGAGACUCACACACACAAGAGAAGAUAGAAGAAGAUGAGCAUGGAGUGAGGUCGAUGGAUCUGGGAAGAGGUGUGGGCUAGCGGC